GAGAGAACUGAGUUUGGAACACAGGUUGGCCACGUUUUAACUGAAUGACUCUGAUCGAGUGUCCUAACGGUGCUGCCCUCUGUUUCCUCGUCUACCAACUGUAGAUGACGCUGCCUCUCUCGGCGUUGCAGACCAGCGACCCCCACACAACCCCGCAGGCACGGCA
rnacentral:lncRNA from 1 species